rnacentral:rRNA from 1 species
AAUCAACGCUGGCGGCGUGCCUCAGACAUGCAAGUCGAACGAUUAAGACUCCCUUCGGGGAGUGCAUAAAGUGGCGCACGGGUGAGUAACACGUAAGUAAUCUACCCUCGAGUGGGGAAUAACAACCGGAAACGGUUGCUAAUACCGCAUAAUGCAGCGGCACCGCAAGGUGACAGUUGUUAAAGGGGCAAUCCGCUUGAGGAGGAGCUUGCGGCAGAUUAGCUAGUUGGUAAGGUAACGGCUUACCAAGGCUACGAUCUGUAUCCGGCCUGAGAGGGCGGUCGGACACACUGACACUUAAUGACGGGUCAGACUCCUACGGGAGGCAGCAGUCGGGAAUUUUGGACAAUGGGCGAAAGCCUGACCCAGCAACGCCGCGUGAAGGAUGAAGUAUUUCGGUAUGUAAACUUCGAAAGAGUAGGAAGAAUAAAUGACGGUACUAUUUAUAAGCUCCGGCUAACUACGUGCCAGCAGCCGCGGUAAAAC